AGAGUUUGAUCUUGGCUCAGAUUGAACGCUGGCGGCAUGCCUUACACAUGCAAGUCGAACGGCAGCACGGGAGCUUGCUCCUGGUGGCGAGUGGCGAACGGGUGAGUAAUAUAUCGGAACGUACCCUAGAGUGGGGGAUAACGCAGCGAAAGUUGCGCUAAUACCGCAUACGAUCUACGGAUGAAAGUGGGGGAUCGCAAGACCUCAUGCUCAUGGAGCGGCCGAUAUCUGAUUAGCUAGUUGGUGGGGUAAAGGCCUACCAAGGCAUCGAUCAGCAGCUGGUCUGAGAGGACGACCAGCCACACUGGAACUGAGACACGGUCCAGACUCCUACGGGAGGCAGCAGUGGGGAAUUUUGGACAAUGGGGGCAACCCUGAUCCAGCAAUGCCGCGUGAGUGAAGAAGGCCUUCGGGUUGUAAAGCUCUUUUGUCAGGGAAGAAACGGUGAGGGCUAAUAUCCUUUGCUAAUGACGGUACCUGAAGAAUAAGCACCGGCUAACUACGUGCCAGCAGCCGCGGUAAUACGUAGGGUGCAAGCGUUAAUCGGAAUUACUGGGCGUAAAGCGUGCGCAGGCGGUUAUGUAAGUCAGAUGUGAAAUCCCCGGGCUCAACCUGGGAAUGGCAUUUGAGACUGCAUGGCUAGAGUGUGUCAGAGGGGGGUAGAAUUCCACGUGUAGCAGUGAAAUGCGUAGAGAUGUGGAGGAAUACCGAUGGCGAAGGCAGCCCCCUGGGAUAACACUGACGCUCAUGCACGAAAGCGUGGGGAGCAAACAGGAUUAGAUACCCUGGUAGUCCACGCCCUAAACCGAAGGUUUACUAGUUGUCGGGGCGUUAAUUGUCUUGGUAACGCAGCUAAACGCGUGAAGAAGACCGCCCGGGGAGUACGGUCGCAAGAUUAAAACUCAAAGGAAUUGACGGGGACCCGCACAAGCGGUGGAUGAUGUGGAUUAAUUCGAUGCAACGCGAAAAACCUUACCUACCCUUGACAUGUACGGAACCUCUGAGAGAUUAGAGGGUGCUCGAAAGAGAGCCGUAACACAGGUGCUGCAUGGCUGUCGUCAGCUCGUGUCGUGAGAUGUUGGGUUAAGUCCCGCAACGAGCGCAACCCUUGUCAUUAGUUGCUACGAAAGGGCACUCUAAUGAGACUGCCGGUGACAAACCGGAGGAAGGUGGGGAUGACGUCAAGUCCUCAUGGCCCUUAUGGGUAGGGCUUCACACGUCAUACAAUGGUACAUACAGAGGGCCGCCAACCCGCGAGGGGGAGCUAAUCCCAGAAAGUGUAUCGUAGUCCGGAUUGUAGUCUGCAACUCGACUACAUGAAGUUGGAAUCGCUAGUAAUCGCGGAUCAGCAUGUCGCGGUGAAUAAGUUCCCGGGUCUUGUACUCACCGCCCGUCA
rnacentral:rRNA from 1 species